AUUGAACGCUGGCGGAAUGCUUUACACAUGCAAGUCGAACGGUAGAGGGGGCAACCCCUUGAGAGUGGCGAACGGGUGAGUAAUAUAUCGGAACGUGCCCAGUCGUGGGGAUAACGUAGCGAAAGUUACGCUAAUACCGCAUACGAUCUAAGGAUGAAAGCGGGGGAUCGCAAGACCUCGCGCGAUUGGAGCGGCUGAUAUCAGAUUAGGUUGUUGGUGAGGUAAAAGCUCACCAAGCCGACGAUCUGUAGCUGGUUUGAGAGAACGACCAGCCACACUGGGACUGAGACACGGCCCAGACUCCUACGGGAGGCAGCAGUGGGGGAAUUUUUGGGACAAUGGGCGAAAGCCUGAUCCAGCAAUGCCGCGUGCAGGAAGAAGG
rnacentral:rRNA from 1 species